CACACCACAGUGUGGGACACACCACAGGGUGGGACGCACCACAGAGUGGGACAUACGUGGUGUAUGAACGACAGUGUGUGACACGCAGGGUGUGUGACCCACAAUGUACACACCACACAGUGAGGUAUAGAUCACAGAGUACAGACCACCGUAUGAUGUUGUAUAGAAGGCGGUGUGUGUGUAUAUCACUGUGUUGUUGUUUAUUCAUUUCCCUGCGCCCUUCCAUUAAUCAUCAUGUCGAGGCUGCCCCUUCGUGAGCUGCAGAUCUGCCCUCGCAGUGCCACGGUCGUUGCCUGCUGCUGCUGCCUGGAAGUCGGCGUCAUCAGCAGACUGGCUGAAGAAGCGAGGAGCACGUGUGGCUCGCACACCCAGAGCGGCUUCUCCUCACUGAGAUGCGCUCCCGUGCGAGUCCGAGAGCCGUCGCAUGCUCACGCCAGCUCACAUAGUUCACCCCAACUCGGUUGGGUGGCCCUGUGCGAGUUCCUCUCUCAAACCCUCGCUCUACUUAUACCGACGGGGGAGGAACCUUCAACUGCUGUGGCCCCGAAGUGUUUGAACUGCACUAAUUGCUGAACUUUGGCGGUAGCAGCUUAAAGGUUGACGGAGCCAUUACGCAGACGGAGAAACGGCAGUCCCGCAUUACGGGGCACGGCGAGGUUUAGCACGGGGCCCGUCACCAGGAGCACAACUCUCCACGAGCGCGCGUCGCCGCCGCCUCAGGAG